rnacentral:pre_miRNA from 1 species
CAAGUACUCCCUUCGUUCGGAAAUACUUGUCUGAGGAAUGGAUGUAUGUAGAUGUAUUUUAGUUUUAGAUACAUCCAUUUGUAUCCAUUUCUACGACAAAUAUUUCCGGACUGAGGGAGUAAUAC